rnacentral:misc_RNA from 1 species
UGCGACAGAGGGCAGAGCUGGAGAC